rnacentral:rRNA from 1 species
AUUGAACGCUGGCGGCAUGCCUUACACAUGCAAGUCGAACGGCAGCACGGGUGCUUGCCCCUGGUGGCGAGUGGCGAGCGGGUGAGUAAUACAUCGGAACAUGUCCUGUAGUGGGGGAUAGCCCGGCGAAAGCCGGAUUAAUACCGCAUACGAUCUACGGAUGAAAGCGGGGGACCUUCGGGCCUCGCGCUAUAGGGUUGGCCGAUGGCUGAUUAGCUAGUUGGUGGGGUAAAGGCCUACCAAGGCGACGAUCAGUAGCUGGUCUGAGAGGACGACCAGCCACACUGGGACUGAGACACGGCCCAGACUCCUACGGGAGGCAGCAGUGGGGAAUCUUGGACAAUGGGCGAAAGCCUGAUCCAGCAAUGCCGCGUGUGUGAAGAAGGCCUUCGGGUUGUAAGGCACUUUUGUCCGGAAAGAAAUCCUUGGCCCUAAUACGGUCGGGGGAUGACGGUACCGGAAGAAUAAGCACCGGCUAACUACGUG